CAGCAGCCGCGGUAAUACGGAGGGUGCGAGCGUUAAUCGGAAUUACUGGGCGUAAAGGGCGCGUAGGCGGCCGAUCAAGUCAGAUGUGAAAGCCCACGGCUUAACCGUGUGAAGUGCAUCUGAAACUGGUUGGCUUGAGUAUCGGAGAGGAAAGUGGAAUUCCCGGUGUAGAGGUGAAAUUCGUAGAUAUCGGGAGGAAUACCGGUGGCGAAGGCGACUUUCUGGACGAAUACUGACGCUGAGGCGCGAAAGCGUGGGGAGCAAACAGGAUUAGAUACCCUGGUAGUCCACAGCUGUAAACGAUGUGCACUAGAUGUGGGGAAGUGUUGACCUUUCCUGUGUCGCAGCUAACGCAUUAAGUGCACCGCCUGGGGAGUACGGCCGCAAGGUUAAAACUCAAAGGAAUUGACGGGG
rnacentral:rRNA from 1 species